ensembl:ncRNA M03F4.11 ncRNA
AACAAUUGAAGAGUUGUUCAAAGAAAAGAAAACUGAAAGCUUCCUAAAAACAUCAUAUUGGGGACGCAGUUUAUUUUGGAGUUUUUGCGUACAUAUAUAAAAUGUGUGAUUGCAAGCGUAAAAUAUAUUAUAAUG